GCACGAAGCGGUGGAGCAGUGUGGUUUAAUUCGAAGCAACGCGAAGAACCUUACCAGGUCUUGACAUCCCGAUGCUAUUUCUAGAGAUAGAAAGUUACUUCGGUACAUCGGUGACAGGUGGUGCAUGGUUGUCGUCAGCUCGUGUCGUGAGAUGUUGGGUUAAGUCCCGCAACGAGCGCAACCCCUAUUGUUAGUUGCCAUCAUUCAGUUGGGCACUCUAGCGAGACUGCCGGUAAUAAACCGGAGGAAGGUGGGAUGACGUCAAAUCAUCAUGCCCCUUAUGACCUGGGCUACACACGUGCUACAAUGGUUGGUACAACGAGUUGCGAGUCGGUGACGGCGAGCUAAUCUCUUAAAGCCAAUCUCAGUUCGGAUUGUAGGCUGCAACUCGCCUACAUGAAGUCGGAAUCGCUAGUAAUCGCGGAUCAGCCAUGCCGCGGUGAAUACGUUCCCGGGCCUU
rnacentral:rRNA from 1 species